ACCCCGUCGGCGAGCGUUGUUCGGAUUUACUGGGCGUAAAGGGUGCGUAGGCGGUUCUGUGUGUCGGAUGUGAAAUCUCACGGCUUAACCGUGGAAUGGCAUUCGAAACUACAGGGAUGGAGUACAGGAGAGAAGAGAGGAAUUCUCGGUGUAGCGGUGAAAUGCGUAGAUAUCGAGAGGAACACCGGUGGCGAAGGCGGCUCUCUGGACUGAUACUGACGCUGAGGCACGAAAGCUGGGGGAGCAAACAG
rnacentral:rRNA from 1 species